CUCCUACGGGAGGCAGCAGUGGGGAAUAUUGCACAAUGGGCGGAAGCCUGAUGCAGCAACGCCGCGUGCGGGAUGACGGCCUUCGGGUUGUAAACCGCUUUCGCCUGUGACGAAGCGUGAGUGACGGUAAUGGGUAAAGAAGCACCGGCUAACUACGUGCCAGCAGCCGCGGUGAUACGUAGGGUGCGAGCGUUGUCCGGAUUUAUUGGGCGUAAAGGGCUCGUAGGUGGUUGAUCGCGUCGGAAGUGUAAUCUUGGGGCUUAACCCUGAGCGUGCUUUCUAUACGGGUUGACUUGAGGAAGGUAGGGGAGAAUGGAAUUCCUGGUGGAGCGGUGGAAUGCGCAGAUAUCAGGAGGAACACCAGUGGCGAAGGCGGUUCUCUGGGCCUUUCCUGACGCUGAGGAGCGAAAGCGUGGGGAGCGAACAGGCUUAGAUACCCUGGUAGUCCACGCUGUAAACGGUGGGUACUAGGUGUGGGGUCCAUUCCACGGGUUCCGUGCCGUAGCUAACGCUUUAAGUACCCCGCCUGGGGAGUAUGGCCGCAAGGCUAAAACUCAAAGGAAUUGACGGGGCCCCGCACAAGCGGCGGAGCAUGCGGAUUAAUUCGAUGCAACGCGUAGAACCUUACCUGGGUUUGACAUGGAUCGGGAGUGCUCAGAGAUGGGUGUGCCUCUUUUGGGGUCGGUUCACAGGUGGUGCAUGGCUGUCGUCAGCUCGUGUCGUGAGAUGUUGGGUUAAGUCCCGCAACGAGCGCAACCCUUGUUCACUGUUGCCAGCACGUUAUGGUGGGGACUCAGUGGAGACCGCCGGGGUCAACUCGGAGGAAGGUGGGGAUGACGUCAAGUCAUCAUGCCCCUUAUGUCCAGGGCUUCACGCAUGCUACAAUGGCUGGUACAGAGAGUGGCGAGCCUGUGAGGGUGAGCGAAUCUCGGAAAGCCGGUCUCAGUUCGGAUUGGGGUCUGCAACUCGACCUCAUGAAGUCGGAGUCGCUAGUAAUCGCAGAUCAGCAACGCUGCGGUGAAUACGUUCCCGGGGCUUGCACACACCGCCGU
rnacentral:rRNA from 1 species